rnacentral:rRNA from 1 species
CAGCAGCCGUGGUAAUACGAAGGGUGCAAGCGUUACUCGGAAUUACUGGGCGUAAAGCGUGCGUAGGUGGUGGUUUAAGUCCGUUGUGAAAGCCCUGGGCUCAACCUGGGAAUUGCAGUGGAUACUGGGUCACUAGAGUGUGGUAGAGGAUAGUGGAAUUCCCGGUGUAGCGGUGAAAUGCGUAGAGAUCGGGAGGAACAUCAGUGGCGAAGGCGGCCAUCUGGGACAACACUGACGCUGAGGCACGAAAGCGUGGGGAGCAAACAGGAUUAGAUACCCCAGUAGUCCCUGUCUCUUAUAC